rnacentral:rRNA from 1 species
GACGAACGCUGGCGGCGUGCUUAACACAUGCAAGUCGAACGGAAAGGCCCUGCUUUUGUGGGGUGCUCGAGUGGCGAACGGGUGAGUAACACGUGAGUAACCUGCCCUUGACUUUGGGAUAACUUCAGGAAACUGGGGCUAAUACCGGAUAGGAGCUCCUGCUGCAUGGUGGGGGUUGGAAAGUUUCGGCGGUUGGGGAUGGACUCGCGGCUUAUCAGCUUGUUGGUGGGGUAGUGGCUUACCAAGGCUUUGACGGGUAGCCGGCCUGAGAGGGUGACCGGCCACAUUGGGACUGAGAUACGGCCAGACUCCUACGGGAGGCAGCAGUGGGAAAUAUUGCACAAUGGGCGGAAGCCUGAUGCAGCAACGCCGCGUGCGGGAUGACGGCCUUCGGGUUGUAAACCGCUUUCGCCUGUGACGAAGCGUGAGUGACGGUAAUGGGUAAAGAAGCACCGGCUAACUACGUG